CCCAAGCUCCAAAGGAAGCACUCCAUGAUCAACAACCCUGACACUACGUGGAAAUGGACACGACUGAUGAAUGUGAAAAGGAAUCGUUGAAAUGGAAAAUCCUGGAGCUGAAAGUGGCCGUAUCCAACUCUACUCUGUGAAUUUUGUAUUUUUUCUUUUAUUUAUUCAUCAUCUCGACAGACAUUUUUUGCGAAUAUACUACAUGCAAAGCACUACAUUAGGUGCUAGGAAAAGAACUGUGAACAAGGGAAGAGGCCAUGUGAGGACACAGUGAGAAGGCAGCCAUAUACAAGCCUGGAAGAGAGGCUUCACCAGAAAUCAACCCAGAUGGCACCUUGAUCUUGGAUUUCUAGCUUCCUGAACUCUGAAAGCAUCCUGACUGAUAAGAGUGGUUAAACUGGUUUCUUCAGUCAGUGAGGAGGGAAUUGGCUCCUGGCUUCACCACAGGAAUUAUAUGUCCUCUUCAAAGCUGCUUCCUCCUCUGUGAGAUGCAGGUUAUGCAGUCAACAGUUUUGACAGCUACAAAGGGACCCAGGGCAGACUUUUCUCCUUUGCCUGAACUCUUCAAGGAUCCAGAGCCUAGGUACCAGCAGAGGAUUCUUGGGCCCAUCUGCCACCUCAGAGAGUCCAGAUGAAUUUGGAUUCUUUUCCCGAGAGGUUAUUAUAGAAUAUUGAGUAGAUUCCCUGUGCUAUACAACUGGUUGCUGCACUCUCCUCUGAGGCUCUGAAGCUCCCCCUCUGUCCAGGCUGAUCUCCCCACAGCUAACUCUGGGAUGCUUCAAAGAAACCCUGCGACAUCUCAGAAAGAAAUGUUAAACUAAUUAGGCUUACUUGAGAAGCACUGUCAAGUGAUUGGAGAUAAACCUUCUUAGGU